rnacentral:lncRNA from 1 species
GCAAGGACCUAAAAUUCAGUGGAAAGAUGCGAGACAAAGUGUCUCAGAAAUAGCGAACCAGGAAUCAGCAAGCUUCGAUGUAAUCAUGCCGUCGCUGACUACUAUUGUUGAGGUGUCACCGUGUUUCCUUCAGCAAAGGUUGCCUGCAGGGCUCUAGUCUUGAUUCAAAACGCUUGUGGCUUGAGGCAGUUUCGUACCUGAUCAGCGUAGGAUUGCGUGCUGGCAGUGAAGACGACGAUUUCGCAUAUUUGUGACGCUAAGUCGAGGAAAAUCUUCGUGUAAGGUCGAACGUAAACGUGGCCCUGCGGUGGCAUGCCACACAAAAGUCCCAGAAUAAGCAUUUUGUAUCUUCUGGAGUUAACACCGAGUAUCUGCUAAUUCAGAGGCUUCGAUUGGUUUUCAGUGUGUCGGACAUUAUUUUUCGCGAUGCUUAUAGGGCCUGUGGCUUCUUUCCCCAAACACAGAUCAGGGACUGAGGUAAGAAUGUAACGGACAAGAUGCCUGCGUACCAGGACAUUCGUGUCGGAAAACCGGACAAGAAAAGCCGGGCUUUUCUCGAGAGGCUUCGUCGCACAGUGCAUCAGAGUCUCAUCCAUAUCUGCACAACGCAGUCACAGACAGCGCAGGAAAGUGGCUUCUCCGUGCCACACAACAUCUUUACUUGCGCUGAAACUCCUCGAAGACUAUCAAUGAGUGCCCGGCGCCCCGUUAGUUUGAAAUCGGGGGAAAAGUCUUUUUUUUGCCUAGUCAAGAAUACGAUGGCGCCUCUCAUUGGAAAGGUGUUGUUUCAUGCCAGGGGUUCAAGGGAAAUAUGACCCGCUGCCAGCACUAGUUCUUUGUCCAAGGUGACGCGCCUAACAGCCUUCGAAAGCAGAGAGGCGGGUCUACCGCGUUGUCACAUGUGGAGUUUUGGACUCCGGUGUCAUAAUAUUUCAGAGACCGGGGGUGCCUCUUUGUUCCUCGCGCUGAAUCUACUGAAAUAAACAUGUUCGAGGAAAAAUCCAGAAAAAAUGUCGCUGGGCAACACAUUCCAAUAAUCGUAGUCAACUUACUAGCGGGUGAAUUAUCUAUGGCGGGACAUGGUUGUUGUGGCUGGAGUGUACGUCUGGUUCCAACGUGUGCCGCUUCCUUCGGUUACUGUUGUCUUAGUAAGUAAUGAAGAAUGAAUUCGUGUAACUCUCUGUGGCCCCGUGUAACAGUGAAGUGUUCUUCCUGUUGUUUUUUGCGGAACAAAUGUGUCUCUCACCCAAGACAAGAGUCAUUCGACCGGCAAACUGAGGCGCUACAGGAGGAAGAAAGUAUCCGUGUUGUAGUUUAGGAGGUUUCUUGGGGAAGUGAGUCAACGCCAGGUAAGCGAUAGCACUUUGCAGAGCAGGUAGAAGUUGUGAACUGUCCUUCGGUACUUGACAUAGGUUUGGCAUGCAGACAUGGAAAUCGUCCCCCAAAGCAGCGGGUCCGCCGUUUGCCGCAUCAAAGCUUAUUUGCGUGAUCUCUUGGCUUCCCGUAGACCUGUUCAGAAACGCUUUUUUGUGAGCCAGCGUUUUCAGAUGCAGUUUUUGUUGGAGAGGAAAGAGCGACGGAAAGUGCUGCUGAUAGGACACUCUCUGCGGUCGCAUAACAAGGUUUCUGCUAAAGGACCGAGGAGAUAUGAGACUUCUACGACUUCCUGGAGGCUUUGCUAGACCUCUCAGCAGUGCUGCAUUAUAAGCCAAGUCUGUCAGCAAUCCUCCGGCAAUUGUAACGCCGCCAGCUUGUUUGUUAACAUAGUCGUCUGUCGAGACAGUACCGUCUGGACGAAGUUGAAAGUCCUUUUUCUGAGGUGACGAGAGACCUGAAAAACGAUACGCGACCCUCUGAGUCGGCAUCCCAAAAGAGUUCAGCGCAUUAGACCCUUCGGCUGCGCAUGCGGUCACCUCCUCAAAUGUGCGUUCUUUGUUCAUAAAGUUCAAGGAUGUUCCCCUUCCAGAAGCAGCUGAUGGAGAAGAAGACGACUCAUAAGCGACAGCAGCGGGAGCUACUGUGAAGGAAGCGCUGUGGAUUGACUUGCAUAGAGGCCAUCCAAACAGUCCAGCAAACCGCAACAUCGCUGACAAACAGUAAAAUCCUAUAUCAUUGGUGACGGCACCGUGAGCACAGGAGAAAAGAAGAUGUCACUUGAGGAAAGAGUACGGUCCGGGAAUUCGAUGACUUCUCUUUCAGCCCUGUCGUCCAUCAUACCUGUACGCGAUUCCCACGACCGCGGUCGUUUCUGAGCCCGUUCAGAAACAUGUCGCGAAGGUUUGGCGCAAUAUACGCCAUGGAGGUCUGCUUCUGCUGUCUGAGUUUUCAUCUUUUCUGAGCGAUGAUUGUAGAUGUAGGGGCAAUAGGUGCCCCUGAGGAAGAUUUGGCGAUGGCUUCGUCUGGCAGGGAAACUAUCCGGCAGACAGCUGGAUUUGGCGGCGUCCAAGAAAGCUCCUUUCAGAGUGAAGCGUGUUCACGAGCACAGUUGUGGAAGGCGACUUCAUUGAAAGCGCGCAAUCUGGAUUUUGCUGUUGUGUAAAUUAGCCACCCAACGGCUAUUCUGUGCUUUUCUCUGGUCUUCCUUCCUUUCGUGCUCUAUCGAAGCGGUGGUUACUGGGCUAUUGUCGUCUGCCUUUUUCGGCCGAGAGAGUGUGGCACGUCGAUUCGUACGUUCGGGUGCGCUUGCGAUACAGAAAGAAGUACGGAAUUUACUUCUGUUGACGUUCCGAGAGGGGUCGUACGACCACAAGAGUCGAUGGAAAGAACUUCGGUUAAUGAUGAGAACGAACGGCGGACAUUUUCUGCCCCCCGUAACAGCAGGUUACCAC